rnacentral:rRNA from 1 species
UACAGAGACUGCAAGCGUUAUUCGGAUUCACUGGGCGUAAAGGGUGCGCAGGCGGCCGGGUGUGUCAGAUGUGAAAUCCCGAGGCUUAACCUCGGAACUGCGUCUGAAACUACCUGGCUAGAGUAUUGGAGAGGGUAACGGAAUUCACGGUGUAGCAGUGAAAUGCGUAGAUAUCGUGAGGAACACCAGAGGCGAAGGCGGUUACCUGGACAAUUACUGACGCUCAGGCACGAAAGCGUGGGGAG